rnacentral:rRNA from 1 species
AUUGAACGCUGGCGGCAGGCCUAACACAUGCAAGUCGAACGAGUGGCGGACGGGUGAGUAAUGUCUGGGAAACUGCCUGAUGGAGGGGGAUAACUACUGGAAAAGGUAGCUAAUACCGCAUAACAUCAGAUGUGCCCAGAUGGGUUUAGCUCGUUGGUGGGGUAACGGCUCACAAAGGCGACGAUCCCUAGCUGGUCUGAGAGGAUGACCAGCCACACUGGAACUGAGACACGGGCCAGACUCCUACGGGAGGCAGCAGUGGGGAAUAUUGCGCAAUGGUCGCAAGCCUGAUGCAGCCAUGCCGCGUGUAUGAAGAAGGCCUUCGGGUUGUAAAAUACUUUCAGCGGGGAGGCGUUACCCGAAGAGGAAGCACCGGCUAACUCCGUGCCAGCAGCCGCGGUAAUUC